rnacentral:rRNA from 1 species
AUACGGAGGGUGCAAGCGUUACUCGGAAUCACUGGGCGUAAAGCGCGCGCAGGCGGCCAUUUAAGUUGGAUGUGAAAGCCUACGGCUUAACCGUAGAACUGCAUCCAAAACUAUUUGGCUAGAGUGUGGGAGAGGAAGAUGGAAUUAGUUGUGUAGGGGUAAAAUCCGUAGAGAUAACUAGGAAUACCAAAAGCGAAGGCAAUCUUCUGGAACACUACUGACGCUGAGGCGCGAAAGCGUGGGGAGCAAACGGGAUUAGAAACCCCGGUAGUCC